ACAAAAUACAGUUAAAGGAACAGCGCGCACACAAACAAAAAUAGAGCUUUACAUUUAACGAUAUGGCCAUAUGGAGGAACUGAAUGCCCAUGUUUAUUUUCUAAGAUAGGUAAUUUUAAGUAGCCUUGUUAAAUGUAAAGCUAUAUUUUUGUUUGUUAGUGCACUGCUCCUUUAACUGUAUUUUAUCUUUAGACUUAACACUGCCCAUUAGUCUGCAUAUUGAAAGGAGAGAAAGAAAAUGUUAGUGAAAAGGUAAC